GAACGCUGGCGGCAGGCUUAACACAUGCAAGUCGAGCGGUAACAGGGGGUGCUUGCACCCCGCUGACGAGCGGCGGACGGGUGAGUAAUGCUUAGGAAUCUGCCCAGUAGUGGGGGAUAGCCCGGGGAAACCCGGAUUAAUACCGCAUACGUCCUACGGGAGAAAGCAGGGGAUCUUCGGACCUUGCGCUAUUGGAUGAGCCUAAGUCGGAUUAGCUAGUUGGUGGGGUAAAGGCCUACCAAGGCCACGAUCCGUAGCUGGUUUGAGAGGAUGAUCAGCCACAUCGGGACUGAGACACGGCCCGAACUCCUACGGGAGGCAGCAGUGGGGAAUAUUGGACAAUGGGGGCAACCCUGAUCCAGCCAUGCCGCGUGUGUGAAGAAGGCUUUCGGGUUGUAAAGCACUUUCAGUAAGGAGGAAAACCUUACGGUUAAUA
rnacentral:rRNA from 1 species